UUAGGACGAUGAAGUGGUUGAUGCCAUGCUUCCAGGAAAAGCUUCUAAGCUUCAGGUAAUUAGGAACCGUACCCCAAACCGACACAGGUGGUUAGGUAGAGAAUACCAAGGCGCUUGAGAGAACUCGGGUGAAGGAACUAGGCAAAAUGGCACCGUAACUUCGGGAGAAGGUGCGCCGGUGAGUGUGAAGGGUUUACCCCGUAAGCACAUGCCGGUCGAAGAUACCAGGCCGCUGCGACUGUUUAUUAAAAACACAGCACUCUGCAAACACGAAAGUGGACGUAUAGGGUGUGACGCCUGCCCGGUGCCGGAAGGUUAAUUGAUGGGGUUAGCUAACGCGAAGCUCUUGAUCGAAGCCCCGGUAAACGGCGGCCGUAACUAUAACGGUCCUAAGGUAGCGAAAUUCCUUGUCGGGUAAGUUCCGACCUGCACGAAUGGCGUAACGAUGGCGGCGCUGUCUCCACCCGAGACUCAGUGAAAUUGAAAUCGCUGUGAAGAUGCAGUGUAUCCGCGGCUAGACGGAAAGACCCCGUGAACCUUUACUAUAGCUUUGCACUGGACUUUGAGCUUGCUUGUGUAGGAUAGGUGGGAGGCUUUGAAGUGGGGACGCCAGUUCUCAUGGAGCCAACCUUGAAAUACCACCCUGGCAACCUUGAGGUUCUAACUCUGGUCCGUUAUCCGGAUCGAGGACAGUGUAUGGUGGGUAGUUUGACUGGGGCGGUCUCCUCCUAAAGAGUAACGGAGGAGUACGAAGGUGCGCUCAGACCGGUCGGAAAUCGGUCGUAGAGUAUAAAGGCAAAAGCGCGCUUGACUGCGAGACAGACACGUCGAGCAGGUACGAAAGUAGGUCUUAGUGAUCCGGUGGUUCUGUAUGGAAGGGCCAUCGCUCAACGGAUAAAAGGUACUCCGGGGAUAACAGGCUGAUACCGCCCAAGAGUUCAUAUCGACGGCGGUGUUUGGCACCUCGAUGUCGGCUCAUCACAUCCUGGGGCUGAAGCCGGUCCCAAGGGUAUGGCUGUUCGCCAUUUAAAGUGGUACGCGAGCUGGGUUUAGAACGUCGUGAGACAGUUCGGUCCCUAUCUGCCGUGGACGUUUGAGAUUUGAGAGGGGCUGCUCCUAGUACGAGAGGACCGGAGUGGACGAACCUCUGGUGUUCCGGUUGUCACGCCAGUGGCAUUGCCGGGUAGCUAUGUUCGGGAAAGAUAACCGCUGAAAGCAUCUAAGCGGGAAACUUGCCUCAAGAUGAGAUCUCACUGGAACCUUGAGUUCCCUAAAGGGCCGUCGAAGACUACGACGUUGAUAGGCUGGGUGUGUAAGCGUUGUGAGGCGUUGAGCUAACCAGUACUAAUUGCCCGUGAGGCUUGACCAUA
rnacentral:rRNA from 1 species